UGGGGAAUCUUGCGCAAUGGGCGAAAGCCUGACGCAGCAACGCCGCGUGAGCGAAGAAGGCCUUCGGGUUGUAAAGCUCUGUCGGGGGGAAAGAAGGCACCUGGGUUAAUAGCCCAAGGACUGACGGUACCCCCAAAGGAAGCCACGGCUAACUACGUGCCAGCAGCCGCGGUAAUACGUAGGUGGCAAGCGUUGUCCGGAAUCAUUGGGCGUAAAGAGCGCGUAGGUGGCUUGUCAGGUCUGAUGUGAAAUUUCGGGGCUCAACCCCGAACCUGCAUCGGAAACCGGCUUGCUAGAGUCUGGGAGAGGAGAGUGGAAUUCCUGGUGUAGCGGUGAAAUGCGUAGAUAUCAGGAGGAACACCGGUAGCGAAGGCGGCUCUCUGGAACAGUACUGACGCUGAGGCGCGAAGGCUAGGGGAGCGGACAG
rnacentral:rRNA from 1 species